rnacentral:rRNA from 1 species
AGUCGAGGGGCAUCAGUUUGGUUUGCUUGCAAACCAAAGCUGGCGACCGGCGCACGGGUGAGUAACACGUAUCCAACCUGCCUCAUACUCGGGGAUAGCCUUUCGAAAGAAAGAUUAAUAUCCGAUAGCAUAUAUUUCCCGCAUGGGUUUUAUAUUAAAGAAAUUCGGUAUGAGAUGGGGAUGCGUUCCAUUAGUUUGUUGGGGGGGUAACGGCCCACCAAGACUACGAUGGAUAGGGGUUCUGAGAGGAAGGUCCCCCACAUUGGAACUGAGACACGGUCCAAACUCCUACGGGAGGCAGCAGUGAGGAAUAUUGGUCAAUGGACGCGAGUCUGAACCAGCCAAGUAGCGUGAAGGAUGACUGCCCUAUGGGUUGUAAACUUCUUUUAUAUGGGAAUAAAGUUGUCCACGUGUGGAUUUUUGUAUGUACCAUAUGAAUAAGGAUCGGCUAACUCCGUGCCAGCAGCCGCGGUAAUACGGAGGAUCCGAGCGUUAUCCGGAUUUAUUGGGUUUAAAGGGAGCGUAGGCGGAUUGUUAAGUCAGUUGUGAAAGUUUGCGGCUCAACCGUAAAAUUGCAGUUGAUACUGGCAGUCUUGAGUGCAGUAGAGGUGGGCGGAAUUCGUGGUGUAGCGGUGAAAUGCUUAGAUAUCACGAAGAACUCCGAUUGCGAAGGCAGCUCACUGGAGUGUAACUGACGCUGAUGCUCGAAAGUGUGG